GACGAACGCUGGCGGCGUGCCUAAUACAUGCAAGUUGAGCGAUGAAGAUUGGUGCUUGCACCAAUUUGAAGAGCAGCGAACGGGUGAGUAACGCGUGGGGAAUCUGCCUUUGAGCGGGGGACAACAUUUGGAAACGAAUGCUAAUACCGCAUAAUAACUUUAAACAUAAGUUUUAAGUUUGAAAGAUGCAAUUGCAUCACUCAAAGAUGAUCCCGCGUUGUAUUAGCUAGUUGGUGAGGUAAAGGCUCACCAAGGCGAUGAUACAUAGCCGACCUGAGAGGGUGAUCGGCCACAUUGGGACUGAGACACGGCCCAAACGCCUACGGGAGGCAGCAGUAGGGAAUCUUCGGCAAUGGACGAAAGUCUGAACGAGCAACGCCGCGUGAGUGAAGAAGGUUGUCGGAUCGUAAAACUCUGUUGGUAGAGAAGAACGUUGGUGAGAGUGGAAAGCUCAUCAAGUGACGGUAACUACCCAGAAAGGGACGGCUAACUACGUG
rnacentral:rRNA from 1 species